UAGAUGCAAAAACACCUUUAUUAAUAAAUAGAAAAUAAAGUAAUAACCAAAAGCAAAGUCCAGGAGGCAAGCAGGGGUCAGGCACCAAAGCAGGUAGUCAGAUGAGGCAGGAUCAGGAGAACGGAGAGCAGCAAAGUCAGGAACAAGGCCAGAGUCAGGAACCAGGAACACACAGGAACAAGGAGACUUCUGGGGAACAGGAAACCACGCAAGGGCAAGGAGGUACUGGGAUUUGCUGCUUAAAUAGGCUGCACGGAUUAGCAGCAGGGUUGGUUACUAUCAGGUGAGUAACCGUAGCAACAUUAAUGAAGGAGCUGAUCGUUAAUCUCAGCUGAAAACUCAGACACAGAAAAAGGAAGGGUU